AAUGCCUAGGAGUCUGCCUGGUAGUGGGGGAUAACGUUCGGAAACGGACGCUAAUACCGCAUACGUCCUACGGGAGAAAGUGGGGGAUCUUCGGACCUCACGCUAUCAGAUGAGCCUAGGUCGGAUUAGCUAGUUGGUGGGGUAAUGGCUCACCAAGGCGACGAUCCGUAACUGGUCUGAGAGGAUGAUCAGUCACACUGGAACUGAGACACGGUCCAGACUCCUACGGGAGGCAGCAGUGGGGAAUAUUGGACAAUGGGCGAAAGCCUGAUCCAGCCAUGCCGCGUGUGUGAAGAAGGUCUUCGGAUUGUAAAGCACUUUAAGUUGGGAGGAAGGGCAGUCAGUUAAUACCUGGUUGUUUUGACGUUACCAACAGAAUAAGCACCGGCUAACUUCGUGCCAGCAGCCGCGGUAAUACGAAGGGUGCAAGCGUUAAUCGGAAUUACUGGGCGUAAAGCGCGCGUAGGUGGUUCAGCAAGUUGGAGGUGAAAUCCCCGGGCUCAACCUGGGAACUGCCUCCAAAACUACUGAGCUAGAGUACGGUAGAGGGUAGUGGAAUUUCCUGUGUAGCGGUGAAAUGCGUAGAUAUAGGAAGG
rnacentral:rRNA from 1 species